GGCUGCAGCUGAGAAGAGAGAGCCAGCUUGGGAAGAGGAUGUCAACCUGCCUGCCGUGGCACCAGGGACAAAGGGUGACAGGUGGGAGGCUUUUCAUCCUAGCAGGGAUAACCUCUUCCUCUGCUCCCGGCUGGAGGGCAUGCAUUGAAUGUGGGCCACUCCUCCCCGAAGGCUGGAGGCUGAUGGAGCUAAGGGGGCCUGGAUGUCAGGAGACAGAGGCCUCUGGCAGCGAGGACUGGACAAGAGCCCAGGCUCAAGGAUCCAACCCUGCCAGUCUCCUAGUGAUUAGGCCAGAUGUGCCGGGUAUCAAAAGGAGCCCACAUGGAGGGCUGACCUCUGGUAUGGUCGUCUUGAGCGGAGCUGAAAUCAAGCCUGGGGCUGGGGUCUCUGUUUUCUACAAACCUGCCCCAUCAGAGCUCUGGAGAGCAGAAAUCCUAAACCUAGGAGCAGUGAGGCUUGACUCCAGAGCAGACUCUACCCUGGCCUCCCUCUGCUUCCUGGACUGCCCGUACUCCUUGGCUUUAAAGCUUAUCACCCUGACCUCUGUGUCCGUCAGCACCUGGCUUAUUUCUGUCCCUUCUUUCUUACACAAACAUCUGCCACCGGAGGUGACAGUUUCCAAACUUCUUGAGUAUGGUUCAUCUCAACCAUAACUGUAUUAUCUACAAAAAUCCAAAGAAGCCAUAUCCUGAGGUUCUGGGUUUGAAGCAUUCUAAGGGGAAGUUGUUCAGCUCGGUACAGAUGGCAACCCCAGAAGCAGGAGACAUGGAAUAUCGUGUAGGGGGAGAAAGGGAAAGAGGAAAGGCUGGGGUGUGCUUUACGACCCAGGGCAGUGAGCAGCAACCCCAUGGGGCAUCUCUCCAUCAUCUCUAGCCACCAACGGUGAAUGACUGCCCCUAGGGCCCCAGUGCUUACAAACUGAGCGAGCAUCCCCGGUGUGGCACUACCAGAAAGCAAGAUCUGUUCUCCCCCCUCGGUCGCUGCUUGAACCAGGUGCAGCCUCAGGGUCGCCUGCAACCCACCCCCUAAUACCACUCGCAUAUACUUCAGCCACUGAGAAAGACAAUGGGAGGCUGAUGAGUUGAGCUCAGCUGUCCCCUUAGUUAUAGUAGCCCUGUGGAGUGAGGCCGUGCCUGGGUGAACCAGUCCCCUCCCCACCCACUUCUCAAGGCUUAGGUGCCUCUGAUGUAGUUACACAAUGCUCUUACAGGUGCUGGCCUUGGUUACCUUGACCAUACAUCAGUCCCUGGGCGACUACAUUCCUAUGGAAGCUUGAGCAGUGUGUCCUCUAACUUCCAGACUGUCUCUUCCCAGCCUCUGUGGAGAAAGCAACAUCAACGCUCUGCUAGGCAAAGUAUACUGGGAACCAGGAUACAACCCUACGGUGGGCCCACGAUCUCUUAGAUUGACAACGAGACAGACGAGGGCAAAGACCCCAUCUGUCACUUGGCAUUCAUCAGCCACCAUCACGCGGAGACAGCAAAAACACUUUCGGUCAGCUCAGAUCCUGUAUAUGAAAGCCCUUUGGAUUUCAGGCACGGUUUGUAACACCAGCAUUCAGGAGACAGAGGCAGGAGGAUUGAGGAUUGAAGCUAAGAGUUGGAAGGCCAUUCUGCAUUUCUGUUGAGAUCAGGCCAAUGUUGUGGCUUGUUUUGUUUUGUUUUGAAGCCCUGCCUUGUCCUGGGAGACCCAUUUUACAAGCAGCAUUUGAUUUCAGUGUGAGGGUAGCUUCCGAGGCAAGAGGACUAAGUACCGCCUGUCAAUCACCACACGCGAGGCAAAAACUGAUGAGUAACUUAUUCCAAAAAGUAAACGUGGGGUCACCCUGACCAUACACGGAAGCAAACUCGGAUCAUACGAGAAUACAGGAACAUUAAGAUCGCAUCGGGAAAACCAACCCUGCCUGUCAGCUUAUCAAAUAUACCCACACUGAGGGAGGGUGCAACAUCCUCUUACUGCAAAUGGCGGUGACCCCUCCACACAUACACCUGUCACCCGAUCAUCUAGCGGACCAACAACCAGAGAUUGCCCCAGGUGCUGUAAUUUAAAAAAACGACACGAAGAGAAGUCACACCCAGCAACAGGACUCACACAGGAGGUUUACUGGAAGAGGAGAGAGAAGGGGCAGAAAAAGGGGCGGGGGGCAUGACAACAGAGACAGAGA